CCCCUAGAUGUUCUGGGCCGCACGCGCGCUACACUGAACAGUUCAACAAGUCUUAACCUUGGCCGAUAGGUCUGGGUAAUCUUUGAACGCUGUUCGUGAUUGGGAUAGACCUUUGCAAUUAUGGGUCUUCAACGAGGAGUUCCUAGUAAACGCAAGUCAUCAGCUUGCAUUGAUUACGUCCCUGCCCUUUGUACACACCGCCCGUCGCACCUACCGAUUGAAUGGUCCGGUGAAAUCUCGGGACGGCGGCUUGGUCGCUUGCGUCCGACUGCUGAAACUUGAUUAAACCAUAUCAUUUAGAGGAAGGUGAANUCGUAACA
rnacentral:rRNA from 1 species